CGGCCACUUGUAACCUACUGUACAGCAGAGUGACACCCACUUGCCCAUCUUUUUUUCCCCUUAUCCCAAAAGUGUUAUUUAUAAAUUACAAUCAACCAUUGUUGGUCGUCAUAACUAAUAGUGUGCGGGCCGUAUAAGGAAAGAGCUUAUUCAUACUUGUUAUUGUAGAUUGUAUUUAUCAAUAAUAUAAUAGCGAGUAGCCUAUGACCAUUUGGUCAAAAACUCCUGCAACCCGCGAAGCUUUUAUCUGUAUAAUAAUUGUAUUAUAAAUUAUAUGAUUUUUAUAUUACAAAAUAGGUAAAUUAAAGUAACGUUUUUUUUCCAGAAUCAACGAUACUAAGGUUUACUUGUCCCAAUUUAUGCGGAAAAUCAUACAAAGAUAAAGUAUCGGCUGCUCGACAUCUUAAAUACAAUUGUAAAAUGGAAACGAUGUUUGAAUGUUCGGUUUGCUUCAGAAAAUUCACUAAUAAACAAUCAAUGAAAAGACAUUCGAUACUGGUUCAUAAACUUUUUCCAAAGUAAAAUAUAAUAAUAGGUCUACAGAACAAAAAUUUUUUUGUCCAAACGACUGUGGAAGAACAUACAAAAACAAAAAAUCAGUUGGUCGACAUCUUAAAUUUGAAUGUGGAAUACAACCAAUGUUUAAAUGUUUGAUUUGCUACAAAAAAUUUGCAUUAAAAGAAAAUAUGAAAAAACAUUUGAUUAAUAAACAUAGUCAAUAUUAUUUAUAAUAAUAAUAAUAAUAAUAAUAAUAAUAUAAUUUAUCAUUACUCAUUUCUUCGAACAUUCGUUAAAUGGUAGGUACUCUACCUUGUUAAAUGGUAACUACUUACAAUGGCAAUUUUUUUAUAUCAUUAAGAACCUCCAAAAUAAAAUAGGACUGUAUUUAAAAAUAAUUAAAAAUACUUACUAAUGUAAUAAAAUAAAAUAAAUCUGUCAUUAUAAUUUCCCUAUUUUUAAUAUUUUGUAGUAGACAUUGAAUAAAUAUUAAUAUAAAUGUAUACAAACUAGUUUUGAAUAACUCAAAUAUUUCGAACAAAAAAUUUACUGAUAAUCAAUCAGAAGAGACAUGAAGAGACAUGUGGUACCUACUGAUUCAUAUAGACAUUUGAUACGAUAAAUAAUCACUACUAUCUAUAUAGAAUUAUAACACACUAAAUAAAUGUAAACACACUAUACCCUAAUAUCCAUUGUUGUUAAAGCGUUUUGAUAAAUAAAAAAUAUAUAUAUAAGUAUACUAUAUUAUUUUCGUUUGUCAGUUGUUGAAAAUGUUCGUACAAUUGUAUACCUAUAAACUCAUUGGUCAAGUAUACGUAAGUGCUUGAAUUAAUGGUAUAGUUGAAGUCCCGUUUCUUUUUUAUAAAUAUUUUAACGAAUCCCUUUAAAUGAUAUUCCAAUUAAUAAGAAAUUUAAAUCUUCCGGUACUCACGUUUAUUUUAAACUUUUGGACCACCGUUCUAAUCGUAUUCCAAGCUCAAGAACUGAUCAUACUAAUGGGGUAUAAAAUACAUCAUAACAUGUAUAACACAUGAAAUAUCUAAUAUUUUAAUAUAUUGGUACCUAUAAUAAGUUUAUAGGCUGUACCGGAUCUAGGGGGAGGGGCGAUCCUGGGCCCCGGGUGCUAAUCAUAGAGUGGCGCAAAUUUCAAAUUUUAAACUCCUAAAGCAUAUAGCAUUGAGGCGCUAAUAUUAUAUUGUGCCCCGGGUUACAUAAUUUGUAGAUCUGGUACUGUUUAUCUAUAGGUACUCUAAAGUAGCGGGUUCCAACCUCAUGUCACGACCAAAAUUUUGGAGCGGAGUAUUUUAUCAUGGGUCGCGACUAGCGAGUGCAUAAUUCACGUAUUUUUCCCAGAUCGAAGAAAAAAAUUGUUAUGAAUCUUAUAAAUAAUCAAUAAACUGAACAAAACGAAUCAAGAAUUUCUUGCCCUAACUACUGUGGAAGUUCAUACAAAAAUAAAUGCUCGAUUGGUCGACAUCUUAAAUUUGAAUGUGGAGUACAACCAAAAUUUAAAUGUCUUAUUUGCAACAAAAAAUGUACUGAUAAACAAUUAAUGAAGAGACAUGUGAUCCUGAUUCAUAGAUAUAUUUAGUACCUAAUUGAUAGAUAAAAUGGAAUCAAGAUUUGUAUGCCCCAACUACUGCGGAAGAUCAUACAAAAACAAAGGCUCUGUAAAUCAACAUCUUAAAUAUGAAUGUGGGGUACAACCACAAUUUAUAUGCCAUAUUUGCAACAAAAGAUUUGCAUAUCAUAAAACAAUGAGAAAACAUUUAGUUUUGGUUCAUAAAACUUUUGAUUAAUUUAUAAUUUAAUUAUAUUUUUUCAUACUUAAUUUUUGUGUAUUUAAUUUUUUAUUAUUAAAGGCAAUAAUACAUUGAAAAAAAAUCUCAAUGUACCUAUUGGUUUUCUUAUAGAUUUAUCCUAAAAAUAAUUAAUUCCUAUGCACAUUUAAUAUUAUCUAAUCGAAAAUUAAUAUAUAUAAUAUUAGGAUUUAGAAGGAUGUUAAAAAUUAAUUUUUUAACGAUAUUGUUACCCAGUGGCGGAUAUUAAGUAUUAACAGUAGUUUAGUCGGCAAAUUCCGAUGGAGCCCAUCUCUUAAUAUGCUUACGAGAACCACGUAAAUCAUAGAUAUAGUUAAUUAUUAUUUUAUUUUUACCACAUAAAAAAUAACACCUUUUAUAAUGCAAACUGCAAUAUAAUUUACCAUUGUUAGGUUAGGUUAAUAAAAACAACAAUUUCGUAAGUAUGCAAUUGACACGCAUUUUAGUACGAGAUCCCCAACUCCCUCCUAUGGAUUUACCGAUUUUAUUUGAACACUUGAAUCUACCGAUUGUGUUAUUUAUAAAAUAAGUAGGUAUGGUAUAUAGGUAGUACCUAUAUAGUACCUACCUAUACUAUACUUUAAAUAUUUAACUGAACUCAAUCAACUAUUUUAAAUCUAUACUACCUGUCAAUAAGAUAUCCCUCUUCUUUUUUAAACAUACUUCAGCAUUUUAGCGUAACCCCUUUUAAAUUUUACUAUCCUAAUCUAUAGACAUUCAAAUCUUCAGGUAUAAGUAUGCAAAUUUUUUGUUAUUUACCAUCACCCUUAUAUUUUGUUUCCAAUUUAAGCCCAGAUCAUGUAAAUAUGGAAUAUAAAAAUAUAACACGAUACCUAUUACCUAUAUAUAUUACGUAUACUCUAUAGUUAAUAUAGUACAUUCCAAAGCAAGUAUUGAAGUUGCUUAAGUAUUUUAAAUAUUAUAAUAUUUAUAAUUAAAGACGUACACAGAAAUUUCCAAUGGUAGCCUGUAGGGGGAGGGGGUUAUAUUAAAAUAUAAUGACAUAAAGUUUUAUAACAGCGUUUUCCACCCUACCCAGUGGCGGGCUGAACUUCAAUUUUAAAUGACGCAUUUUCAUAAUUAUGUACUUAACACCACCUCCAUCAUCCUAUUUUUACUUAUAACAAAGUUAUGAUGUUAAUAAAAUGUGAUCAAAAGAGCCAAGAGGUCAGGCUUUAGCAUGUAAUUCUGUGCCACAGUCACGGGGUGGCACCACCCCCUUUGAAAAGUUGACGCAACUGCGUCAAAAUUGACCACUUCGGCUUGCCACUGACCCUACCUCUAAACUUUUAUACCUACAUUACUAACAAAAUAUUUUAAAAGUAGUUAGCACCAAUCAAGACACAUAUCAAAAUAUAUUAACUAGUUACUUUUUUUCAGACACAUUGAAAUCAAGAAUUGUAUGCCCCAACAAUUGUGGAAGAUCAUACAAAAAUAAAUGCUCUAUUGUCCGACAUCUUAAAUUUGAAUGUGGUGUACGACCACAAUUUAUAUGUUAUAUUUGCCAAAAACAAUUUGUAUAUAAUAGAAAGUUGAAGGAACAUUUAGGUUUAGUUCAUAACAUUACAAAAUGGAACCAAGAUUUUUUUGCCCUAACAACUGCGGAAGAUCAUACAAAUAUAAAAGUUCUGUUGUUCGACAUCAUGAAUUUGAAUGUGAAUUACAAGACAAAAUGGAUCCAAGUUUUGUAUGUCCUAACCACUGCGGAAGAUCAUACAAAUAUAAACGUUCUAUUAAUCGACAUCUUAAAUUUGAAUGUGGAAUACAACCAAAAUUUAAAUGUCUUAUUUGCAACAAAAAAUUUACUGAUAAACAAUCAAUGAAGAGACAUGUGAUCCUGAUUCACAAAUAUAUUUAGUACCUAAUUGAUAGACGAAAUGGAUUCGAGAUUUUAUUGCCCUAACCACUGCGGAAGAUCAUACAAAUAUAAACGUUCUAUUAACCGACAUCUUAAAUUUGAAUGUGGAGUACAACCUCAAUUU